rnacentral:rRNA from 1 species
GAUGAACGCUGGCGGCGUGCCUAAUACAUGCAAGUCGAGCGAACAGACGAGGAGCUUGCUCCUCUGACGUUAGCGGCGGACGGGUGAGUAACACGUGGAUAACCUACCUAUAAGACUGGGAUAACUUCGGGAAACCGGAGCUACUACCGGAUAAUAUAUUGAACCGCAUGGUUCAAUAGUGAAAGACGCUUUUGCUGUCACUUAUAGAUGGAUCCGGGUCGCAUUAGCUAGUUGGUAAGGUAACGGCUUACCAAGGCAACGAUGCGUAGCCGACCUGAACGGGUCAUCCGCUAGACGGGAAGAGAGGAUCGGCCGCGACACUGACGGGGGGAAGCGGUAGGGACUCUUCCGCGAUGGGCGAAUGCCGGACGGUGCAAAGCCGCGUGAGGGAUGAAGGACUUCGGAUGGUAGAACUCUGUAAUUAGGAAAGAAGAAAAGUGUAAGUAACUAUGAACGUAUUGACGGUACCUAAUCAGAAAGCCACGGCUAACUACGUG